UGUGUGUCCCAUAUUUAAAAUAAUGAACUUAUUUACGAGUGAAAGAAACUUUGUCUGUUGAAUAAGAAUAGGAAAGUCUUAACAACAUACCCCUUAUUCUAACUAGCUGCGAUUUGGUCGAUCGCCUCGCCAUAAGUUAAGUCAAGUUAGUUUGGAAUAAUACUGUGAUUGUCAAUCUUCAAAAUCAUCUGAAUCCAAAUUUCCAAAUUUCUUUCGAAUUCAAACUUAAAAAAUUGGCGACUUUUCGGUUUAAGCAAGUGAUGAGAAUUCUACUGACAAUGAAGAGAAAAACAGGAUGACUAUGGUGACAGACCAGACGCUGGCCUAUUGUGUGCAAGAGUGUAGCUUCGACCCCACAAACAACACUUUCACUCUACCCAUGAAUGCCACAGACGAACAAGUUGGUAACACAAAGACAAACACUACUAGUGACUCGUAAUCCAUCCCAGCUGAUGAUGUGGACUGAAUUGGAAUAUCAGAGUGCAAUCGGAGCGUUCUGCGCUUCACUGUGUCAAAAAAUGCGAAGGAAGGGCAAAAUGCGCAAUUCGAAGAAGCUCCUCCACCUCUUGUGGGUUUUGGGUACACUGGUUACUUGCAUUUACUACCUCUAUUCUAGUUAGCAAACUGUUUUCUCGAGGCUUUUAAUUUGGUGUUGAAAUUUAAUUUCUUGAAAAAAAUUAAUCAUCACUAAAUCUGAUGAAACUUUAUUUGUCGCACCAAAUGCAAAAUUAUAAUUCAAUCGAUAUAAGUA